UCUACCUAGUAGUAUGGAAUAAUUGUUGGAAACGGCAACUAAUACCGUAUACGCCCUACGGGGGAAAAAUUUAUUGCUAUUGGAUGAGCCUAUAUUAGAUUAGCUAGUUGGUGGAGUAAUAGCCUACCAAGGCAAUGAUCUAUAGCUGAUCUGAGAGGAUGAUCAGCCACACUGGAACUGAGAUACGGUCCAGACUCCUACGGGAGGCAGCAGUGGGGAAUAUUGGACAAUGGGCGAAAGCCUGAUCCAGCCAUGCCGCAUGAGUGAAGAAGGCCUUUGGGUUGUAAAGCUCUUUUAGUGAGGAAGAUAAUGACGGUACUCACAGAAGAAGUCCUGGCUAACUCCGUGCCAGCAGCCGCGGUAAUACGGAGAGGGCUAGCGUUAUUCGGAAUUAUUGGGCGUAAAGGGCGCGUAGGCUGGUUAAUAAGUUAAAAGUGAAAUCCCGAGGCUUAACCUUGGAAUUGCUUUUAAAACUAUUAAUCUAGAGAUUGAAAGAGGAUAGAGGAAUUCCUGAUGUAGAGGUAAAAUUCGUAAAUAUUAGGAGGAACACCAGUGGCGAAGGCGUCUAUCUGGUUCAAAUCUGACGCUGAAGCGCGAAGGCGUGGGGAGCAAACAGGAUUAGAUACCCUGGUAGUCCACGCUGUAAACGAUGAAUGUUAAAUAUGGGAAGUUUACU
rnacentral:rRNA from 1 species